rnacentral:rRNA from 1 species
GUGGGGAAUAUUGGACAAUGGGCGAAAGCCUGAUCCAGCCAUGCCGCGUGUGUGAAGAAGGUCUUCGGAUUGUAAAGCACUUUAAGUUGGGAGGAAGGGCAGUAAGUUAAUACCUUGCUGUUUUGACGUUACCGACAGAAUAAUCACCGGCUAACUUCGUGCCAGCAGCCGCGGUAAUACGAAGGGUGCAAGCGUUAAUCGGAAUUACUGGGCGAAAAGCGCGCGUAGGUGGUUUUGUAUGUUGGAGGUGAAAUCCCCGGGCUCAACCUGGGAACUGCCUCCAAAACUGCAUGACUAGAGUACGGUAGAGGGUAGUGGAAUUUCCGGUGUAGCGGUGAAAUGCGUAGAUAUAGGAAGGAACACCAGUGGCGAAGGCGACUACCUGGACUGAUACUGACACUGAGGUGCGAAAGCGUGGGGAGCAAACAGGAUUAGAAACCCGAGUAGUCC